rnacentral:lncRNA from 1 species
AGCCGACGAGAAUAUGGAGCUGGCAUGUCCACAAAUAGCCUCUCGAAGUCGGUAAACUCCCUGUGUUCAGUACCCCCUUCAACUACCUCCGUCACCUGUACGAGGUACCUUGCUGUCUCCACGUAUUCUUCAAGCGAGCAGUCAUGUUUCCUCCUCUUCUUUCAUUGCUUUCGCAUCGUUAAAAGAAUCGCCUAGAGUUAUGGUGGAAAAGCAGAGCCGCUCACACAUCUUCUCUAACAUUCCUCGUCUUCUUUUUGGAUAGAUAGCUGAAGAUGUCAUCACGCUGUUGAUGCUUGCAAUCUUGAGACCCCAAUCCCAUGGCCUAUAUGCGAACUUGACGAUGCCGAGGACGAAGAGCAAGCAGAUCGCCGCCUGCAUCAGCGUCUUGUCGCUGCCGGCAGGCCAGGAC